rnacentral:lncRNA from 1 species
UCUUGCUCUCCACCAUCCAGAGAACAGGAAUUUUGGAAUUCAUGUCAUAGUUGGCUCUAAAAAUUAUCCUAAGCAGUUAAAAGUCAUUGCAAGCUCAAAACUGGCUACUCUAGGCCCCUUCUGGGAAUAGCAGUGGAAACUGCCCAAUGCUGAAUCUUUGUGGCUAAGGCUUUGUGUGUUUCCAAUGGCAGCCUGGGUUCAGGGUUCAAUUCCUGGCUUAGGGAAUGAGUCACUCCUUGUUUGAUAUCUACAUGACCUUUACCAUUUGUUGAUUCUCCUCCCCUCCAUGAACCAUCUUGAAUUUUCCUUUCUCUGAGCACCUGGGAGGUUAUGUUUGGUAAAGUUCAAAAGCCAGAAAUACUGGUGAUUUGGCAUGACUAAUGUUGGGUAAUAAGAGGUUUAAAAGGAUUUCUAAAGAGAGCACUGUGGUUAAAAGUCAGCUUAAUUAAAACCACAUAUUAAAGCUCUAACAGCCUGGAACUCCUUGAGAAAAAUAGGAGGUGCCACAGACCCUGUUUUGGGAAAAACCUCUGUUUUCCUCAUGAAACCCCAGGAACUGAAAGUGGAUAGAUCUCUCUCAAAAUCUAAAGCUCUGUUCUGUUUUGCAUUGUGUUAGCCAACAUUUUUGACUUCUGGGGGUACCAGAUAUUACUUCACAUUGUGAGAGAGCUUUGGUGUGUAAUGACUAGGUAGGAAAUAUACUUUUAGGGGUGGCUAAUUGCAGUUAUGGGGAGAUACUCAGCUCUUUGUACGUUUGGAUCAGAGGAGCAUGCUCUUGGCUACCUAGAAGGAUGCAAUUGGAGAAACUACUUAAUUUACCAAGGCUUUGACUGGAAUGGCAUGUUUUCCUUUUAAGAAUCAAAAUUGACUUAUAGAGCCAAUAAAAGCCCCUUGGAAAAUUGGCCUCAUACAUUGUCUGCAUAGUCCCUGUACAGGGUUUCCAACCUGUGGUCCCUUUAAUUAACUCAGACCUGGAUGACAUAAAAUGAAGUUUCUGAAGAAGUUCAGGUCAAAGGUUCCUGAAACACAAGGCUCAGUGUGUACCCUGGAUGGGAAAAUGAACUGGUGUUGACAUAUAUGCAUGCCCAGGAGGAAGACUGGGAACGACUUAAUGAGUUGGGGUAUGCGGAGAAACAAUGAAAUAUUGAAAACUGUCUAUAUAAAAAUCACUGUUGGGCAUAUGCAUUAAAAAACAAUAUGUUAUUGCAAAUUUAACACUAAAAUUAUUUUCCCAAACAGAAGAUAUUGUCUAAGGAAGAAUAAAAUGCUGAACCCCUAUAUUCAGACUGUUAAUCUUACCUGGUAGUUUAUGUAUGUAUUUCAAUACUUUGUCAUCACGUAGAUAUCUUAAGAUUUAUUAUAUGAAUAUCUGCAUGUGUGUCAUUAAGGAUUACAAAGUAGUGCUCACACAAGAAUUAACAACAAUCCUUCUCAAACUCUUCCAAAAAGUAGAAGAGGAGGGAAAGCUUUCUAACUAAUUCUCUGAGGCCAGCAUUACCCUGAUACCAAAGCCAGAUACAGACAUCACAAGAAAAGAAAAAUAUAGAUCAUAUCCCUUGUGAGUACACAUAUUAGUCAGGUUGGGUUGCCAUAACAAAAUGCUAUAGAUUGGGUGGUUUAAACAACAGACAUUUAUUUCUCACAGUACUGGAGGCUGGAAGUCCCAGAUGAAGGCCCAGUGAGGUUGUCUGGAGGGGGCUCUUUCCUGAUUUGCAGAUGGCCACCUUGUCACUGCGGUCCUCAGAUGG